CUCAUCAGAGCCAGAGCUGCUUCCUGGCAUGGCCUUUGGCAGGCUGGCGGCCUGUACAGGAAGAGAGAGAGGAGAGAAGACGGAGGCGUUCAGAGGAACAAUGGACGUGAACCCUUCAGCGUGGCCUUUACAAACAGAAUUCUAGGUGGGAGAGGCGGGGGCACAGUCUGAAGGCCGUGGGACCCACAGUGGUUCCCGCUUUCCCCUCCGCACACCUGGGAACUACGUAGUCCUAAAAGCAGUAAUGACUACCCAUGUCGUCUGCCCACCCUCUCUGACAGUGUCCCGUGAAGCAUCUGGUAGGACGUGGAGCCACUUCCACUGGCGUCUCCCUUCAAACGUUCCAGAGUUUCCUCUAAAACUGCUUCACGCUUCUGACGUCCAUCAAUUUUUCUAAACCCUUCCUGAAUCUAUUUGUAUUUUCAGUCUGUUUAUACCCCAAGAUGUUGCUUCAUCCUUUCUUGUUUACUUCCUCAAAAUUUUUACUAUGUCAUAGUCUGGUGAAGAAAUCUUUGUUCACCUUCUGCAUGCCCUUUCUGAUCUUCUAGACUUCAACCACAUCUUAUCUGGGAGUCUGCCUCUCCCUAGACAUUCACCGAAGGCCUAGCCUGUGCCAGGCCCACUGCUGUGCAGCAGUGUGGUGGUCACAGAGGUGAAGGGCAAAGAGACGGUGGCAGGAGAGGCCUAGAGAAGUAAACUCGGGAUGGUAGGGAGCCGGGAAGAGGGGGCCCCACUCCACACUUGGGGGGUCGAGGGGGUCAAGAAAAGAUUCUUAGAGGAGAAGAUACUUGAAUCUUGAAAACUGAGAAGGAAUUUAUUAACCCAAGGGAGGUGGGAACUCUCUGGGGAAGAGAACGGAAAGGAGGUUGUUACAGGUGGAUGGAGAGCCAUUCCAAAAACCAGUGCAAGACUAGCUGAGGAAAUGGCAGGGUUGCUGGCUCUGGAGUGGGAGGUAGGGCUGAGAGGGAGGCUUAAGCGUCACGCUGCAGCCUGGGUCUUACUCUGUGAUGCCUUUUCAAUGUUUUUAAGUAGAAAAGGAACGCACUCACCAAAAAUGAAGCACAAUUUUCCCUAAAGAAAAAAACAUGCUGUUUCUGCCUUAGCAAGUUUUUUUUUUCCUUUUACUUACCUUUUUUUCCCUCAGUAUUAAGUGAUAGUCCUUUAUUUAGAUUUGAACAUUUUGUCCCAUUUGCAGGACAGGCUCACUGUUCUAUAGUUCCUGGGACUAUUACCAGAUUCCAAAAAUGGUUGCAAGUCUAAAAAAUAAGAUCAGGGUAGAAAUCCCUAAACUCUUCUACACACACAAAAAAAGGAGAGCCAAGGAACUCAUUUGCUCUCCUGAUUCUUUUUCAUUUUAAAAGAACCAUCUUGCAUCAUGUUCUUUAGAGGUUCCAGUGAUUUCAAGCAAGCUAAUCAAUCCCUCCCCUUGUCUUCCUGCGCAAAAGGCUUCUUAAAGUCUGUUCUGGCUCACUGAAUCUAUAGUUGUACCUGCUUAACACACUGUGUGGUCCUUCCCUUUUCUCUUAGCUUAGAAAACGAACCUAGGAUUUUAUUUAAGCAUAUGGGUGUGUGUGCAAAGAACAGACUGAGGAGAGGAGUGGGGUAGGUUAAGAGUCCUAAGCAUGUCCUUGGGAGAAGAUGCACCUUGGAACUGAGCCCUCUUUUGGUAAAUACUGACGGUUGCUAAAUAGAGAAUUGGAACCCUGGCUGUUUGGGGCAGUUGCUGCCAUGAUGCCCUGAGCUAACUCCACACAUUUGUCUGGGCACCUGUGCCAGGCCUACUGGGAUUAGCAUUGCCAAAGCCCUUUGAAGAUUUCACCAGAAUACCAGGGGAAAUUCUUGUGAGGUGUGAAUUUCUGCCUGUAUCCACUAGAAAACAGAAAGGGUUAAUGUGACUUUGGCCUAAAGCUGUAAGGUAUUCCUUAGUCAUCUCCUAUUUAGGUACUCAAGUUGCUUAGUACCUUUUAGGUUUAAACUGUCUUUCAAUAAUUUUCUUGUCCAACUGGCAAAGUAAAAUACACAACGCUUACGGCAGAAAGCAGCUGGAUUUCAAGCUCAAGUUAGUUCUCCUUUUCCAACUAUACCACCGUGUGGAGCUGUCUCUCUGCCUCUCCCAGCAAAGGCAGAUUCACCCUCUGCCUGGAGGGCAUCUUCAGACCCAGCUUUCAGAGGCAGACUCCUUUCCCCUCCUAGGGAAAUACAGCCACUGGGUGAUUGUCUCUGUCUUGCCACCUCAUCCUAAUUUCAGGAUCUGACUGAACUCACUAUGGAAUUAUCUGCACCGUCCAAGAAACUGCACUGGGCUUAGGUCUAAGUACAGGAUGUAGAAAGCUGAACUUCGUUGUUGAAGGUCUGAGAAAGGGAUGGGAGGACUCAAAAAAUUAGAGAGAAAGGUUGUCCCUCACACAUUCUUCAAGGCUCAACCCUGAGUCUUCCUCAAUCCCCUGAAACUGAAAUGAAUCACUGUUCACCUGAACUCCCAUUAAAAUCUGUUUAUAUCUCUAUUAGGCAACUCAUGGGUCUGACUGACCUGCUUCAUGGCUAACAUGUAAAUGCAGUCCACCUUCUCCAUCAGACUAAGAGAUCCUCAACAGGAGGGACUAGGUCUUACCGUGCUGUUGGAAAUUCUAAACACUCCCCAAUUCGCAGGACACGAAUCUCCAAAACACCCAGAUAUUGAACUCAGGACAAUGGCUGGUUUGCUGGUUCCCUAGUGGGACUCAUGACUCUCCAGCCUGCCGGCUAGCCCUAUGGAUUUUGGACUUACCAGCCUCCACGAUCAUGGUCACAGCACAGAAGACCUUAAGGAAGUGUCUGAUGGGAAUCAGAGCUGGGGAGCUGAGUAAGAAGUCAUGGCUUCUGUUUGUGGAACUCACAAGGCCAAGGGCCAGGGUCGGCCCAUCCUGCCAGCGCAAACCAGCACUGUCUCCUUGGAACAAUAAGCAGCAGUGAGCCAACACAAGCAUAAAUGGGCAGCUCUGCGGGCUACACUGACAACAUAUAUGCAGUGACACUACGGGCUGCUCUCAAAGGUGGCGGGGAGGUGGGAACCCAGGUUGGAGAACAUGUGAGUAGGGGAAGCUGAGAACUUCACAGGAAAUGGGUUUGCUCUCUCUUCCUGAUAAGCCAGUCCUCUCUCUUGGCUCUGGCUGUGACGGAAGCUUUGCCCCUCCUGGGCUCUGUCGUCCUAGGGCUGCUCCCAGAAUGCAGUUGGGCAGCACAGGGUUGGGCACCGGCCUCAGAGCCUUCUGCAAGAGGAUACUCCACGGAUAUGUGCUGACCAAAUGGGUGAGUGAAUAAAGUCUGGAAUUCAUAAAAUGCCUCAAAAUAUUACUAUCAUAUACUCUCUCAUUUGAUUCUCUAAAAACCAAAACAAAACAAAACCAUAAGAUGGAUGAUGUAAUCAUUACUGUGCUCAUUUCACAGUUGUGGCAAUCUGAGAAAUCAAGUGACUUGCCCAAAGCCACAUUAACUCUUAAGUGGCAGAGUUAAAA